AGAGUUUGAUCCUGGCUCAGGAUGAACGCUAGCUACAGGCUUAACACAUGCAAGUCGAGGGGCAGCAUGAACUUAGCUUGCUAAGUUUGAUGGCGACCGGCGCACGGGUGAGUAACGCGUAUCCAACCUGCCCUUUACGCGGGGAUAGCCUUCUGAAAGGAAGUUUAAUACCCGAUGAAUUCGUUUAGUCGCAUGGCUUGAUGAAGAAAGAUUUAUCAGUAAAGGAUGGGGAUGCGUCCCAUUAGCUUGUUGGCGGGGUAACGGCCCACCAAGGCGACGAUGGGUAGGGGUUCUGAGAGGAAGGUCCCCCACAUUGGAACUGAGACACGGUCCAAACUCCUACGGGAGGCAGCAGUGAGGAAUAUUGGUCAAUGGGCGCGAGCCUGAACCAGCCAAGUAGCGUGGAGGACGACGGCCCUACGGGUUGUAAACUCCUUUUAUAAGGGGAUAAAGUUGGCCAUGUAUGGCCAUUUGCAGGUACCUUAUGAAUAAGCAUCGGCUAAUUCCGUGCCAGCAGCCGCGGUAAUACGGAAGAUGCGAGCGUUAUCCGGAUUUAUUGGGUUUAAAGGGAGCGUAGGCGGGCUGUCAAGUCAGCGGUCAAAUGGCGCGGCUCAACCGCGUUCCGCCGUUGAAACUGGCAGCCUUGAGUAUGCACAGGGUACAUGGAAUUCGUGGUGUAGCGGUGAAAUGCUUAGAUAUCACGAGGAACUCCGAUCGCGCAGGCAUUGUACCGGGGCAUUACUGACGCUGAGGCUCGAAGGUGCGGGUAUCAAACAGGAUUAGAUACCCUGGUAGUCCGCACAGUAAACGAUGAAUGCCCGCUGUCGGCGACAUAGUGUCGGCGGCCAAGCGAAAGCGUUAAGCAUUCCACCUGGGGAGUACGCCGGCAACGGUGAAACUCAAAGGAAUUGACGGGGGC
rnacentral:rRNA from 1 species